rnacentral:rRNA from 1 species
AGCGAACGCUGGCGGCAGGCUUAACACAUGCAAGUCGAACGCUCGUAGCAAUACGGGAGUGGCAGACGGGUGAGUAACGCGUGGGAAUAUGCCUUUUGGUUCGGAAUAACUCAGGGAAACUUGAGCUAAUACCGGAUAAGCCCGUGAGGGGAAAGAUUUAUCGCCAAAAGAUUAGCCCGCGUCCGAUUAGCUAGUUGGUGAGGUAAUGGCUCACCAAGGCGACGAUCGGUAGCUGGUCUGAGAGGAUGAUCAGCCACAUUGGGACUGAGACACGGCCCAAACUCCUACGGGAGGCAGCAGUGGGGAAUAUUGGACAAUGGGCGCAAGCCUGAUCCAGCCAUGCCGCGUGAGUGAUGAAGGCCUUAGGGUUGUAAAGCUCUUUUGUCCGGGAAGAUAAUGACGGUACCGGAAGAAUAAGCCCCGGCUAACUUCGUGCCAGCCGCCGCAGUAA